CUUUUAGUGCUUAUUUUUUUUAUAAAAGUCUAGCGGGUUAUAUAACAAGCACCAUAUAAAGCCACAUUUCAAACUUUGUACAAAAAUUCAACACAUUUUACCACAUUUCCCCAAAAAUUUCAAACUUUUUAGAAACUUU